CCUCUGUGUUUGUGGGUAAUGGUCUACCAGGUCUUUUUCCUCUGUGUUUGUGGGUAAUGUUCUACCAGGUCUUUUUUCCUCUGUGUUUGUGGGUAAUGUUCUACCAGGUCUUUUUUCCUCUGUGUUUGUGGGUAAUGUUCUACCAAGUCUUUUUUCCUCUGUGUUUGUGGGUAAUGGUCUACCAGGUCUUUUUUCCUCUGUGUUUGUGGGUAAUGGUCUACCAGGUCUUUUUUCCUCUGUGUUUGUGGGUAAUGGUCUACCAGGUCUUUUUUCCUCUGUGUUUGUGGGUAAUGGUCUACCAGGUCUUUUUUCCUCUGUGUUUGUGGGUAAUGGUCUACCAGGUCUUUUUCCUCUGUGUUUGUGGGUAAUGGUCUACCAGGUCUUUUUUCCUCUGUGUUUGUGGGUAAUGGUCUACCAGGUCUUUUUUCCUCUGUGUUUGUGGGUAAUGUUCUACCAGGUCUUUUUUCCUCUGUGUUUGUGGGUAAUGGUCUACCAGGUCUUUUUUCCUCUGUGUUUGUGGGUAAUGUUCUACCAGGUCUUUUUCCUCUGUGUUUGUGGGUAAUGUUCUACCAGGUCUUUUUUCCUCUGUGUUUGUGGGUAAUGUUCUACCAAGUCUUUUUUCCUCUGUGUUUGUGGGUAAUGGUCUACCAGGUCUUUUUUCCUCUGUGUUUGUGGGUAAUGGUCUACCAGGUCUUUUUUCCUCUGUGUUUGUGGGUAAUGGUCUACCAGGUCUUUUUUUCCUCUGUGUUUGUGG